CUGCAGCUGAGGGGAUUUGACCUUUGCCCCUUUAGGUAUGUGAAGCAGAAAAAAAAUCCGUCACAGACUGAGGAAUGCAAAGCAGACAAGCAUCUUCAGCCAGCAGAGUUUAUCAAGCAUGUGUUCAGUGCAAAUGCUCAGACUUGGACAUGAUGCAAAAGCAAUUAAGAGAAAGAACAGGCUUUGACAUGUAUUAUUUGAUGUAGCACUCAUGGGCACCAUGAUGAGGAGCUCUUAAAUCAGCUUAACAAGGGUGAACUAGGAAGAUCAAAAGAGUGUUCCUGUUUCCUGCUAGCUCUGCAUGACAGCAUUGAACACAAAUACCACUGAUGAUGAUGAAUGGAUUGAGGAAUGCGGAAUGCAUUGUACCAAAAGGGUCCAGACAUUGCCACAAGUCUCACUUUGAGUCUCAGAGGAGCAAGGCCAUCAUGUAGAAGCCAGGUUGCUCUUUGAUCUCAACCUGAUCAAUGAAAUCAGCUGCUGAUAUCUCUUCAGCAGGCCCCAGCUUUAUUCUUUCUGCUUCCUAUAUUGUGUACUCUUCUUUCAGCUCUCCACACACUCCACAGACCUCAACAUAUACAGACCCAUCCAGUUUUCAGGUCACACUGACCCUUCCUUUCUCUUUGCCUUAGCUUACUUCUUAGUUUCUGCAGCUUGCAUCAAAAUAUUCUAGAUUCUAAAGUACAGAUUUAUUAAGUGUUUACUAUGGAGUAGGGUUGCUAGUAGGUAUUUUGCCUAUAUUAAAUUGCUAAAUGUUGACGACAACUUCAUAGGGAAAGGAAUAUUUACAUUGUUCUAAGAUGAGGAAGUCAUUCUACACAGACAGUAGUUACCAAAAGAUAGAAUUGGGAUUUGAACCCAGGCCCUCCUGACUCUAGAUUAUAAUGCUCUUUCCACAGUUUCACCACAUCCCUAGACUUUCUGUCUUUCCCUUAGUUACUUCUGUGCAUUACAAAAAAGAUACCAACUUUCCAAAGAAGUUUUUGUCAACUGCCUCUUAGCAUUUUAAAAAUUUCAGAUCUCACAUUUAUAUAAAGCCAUGAAAAUAUCAACUUUUGAUAUAGAGCUCAUCCUUCAAUUCACACUUGCCCUAUGGGAGGGGAGUAUUUCAUACUUUUUUUAAAUUAAUGCUCCUAAAAACGGGAGUUUUUUGUUUCAUCUCAUUUUUUUUUCUUUUCCUCUCUUGCUUCUGGGAAGAUCUUAAUUUGACCCAAUAACUGAAAAUAUUUUGGUAUAUGAUUUUUAAGCAAAAGACACAAUAGUUUUCUUUCUUCUUUUUAGUUAUCUAAACAUUAUCUGUUUUAGUGCCUCUUUGAAACACUCCUCUAGUUUUUCUAAUCUUAUUUAUAUAACUAGUCAUCUUCUCCACAUUCCAGUCAGGGGAGUAGAAUCACAGACAGAAACAAUCUUCUACAAUGCUGUGAUUGUGACAAGAGACAGAGCUCUUUUUUCAAGGCUGCUAGCUUAAAGUAAAUUUAAUCAUACUGCAGUUCUGUGAUGUUGAUAACAAAAUCAAAUACCUUCUCCUUGCAUCAAAAAAUAGCUUGGUAUUUAUUACAUGUAUACAAACAACACCUAGAAAAUUGGAUAUGGCACACAUGUGUGUAGGAAUGAAACAGCAAACUAAAGCUUGAGUGUCUUCACAGUCCUGGGACUAGACCUUAAUAGAAUGACAAAGUUACAGAGAAAAGUGGGGCUUUGUAGAUAGAUAGAAAAUGGCUAGGGUAAUAUCAAAAUUAGUUAGUAACUGGUAUAGCACAGGUCCUUAUCAGAUGCCAACCUCAGUCCCUGUGCAGAGGCCUAGAAUCCUCCAACCAUGCUAUAGGUUGCCAGAUUAGAUGCUAGACAGUAAGGAGAUCUGUAGAGGAAGAGCCACAGUGGUGAGGGCACACUUGGGGAAAACAGAACAAUGACUAUUUACUUACUGAAUGAAAAUAUUCCAAAACUCUAGUAUCUGCCCUUUAUGGUAUAAAUCUACUGCAUAUCAGUUGUAAGAAAAAGGGUCAGAGAUUAGAUGCCCCAAAGUCCCCAGAAAAGUCUCAGUUUAUACUUGAUAUUCCAGUGUUAUUAGCAAAAGCUCCUUUUUAGACAAUCACGUUUGCUUUUUGUGCCUUUAUAUUAGGAUGACCAUAUAUCUCAAAGUGUCUCUGAUUGGACAAUAUAUUAUAUAGUCACCCUAAUACAAGGACAAAAAGACAAAAUAUGAUUCUCCCUGAAUAAAAACACAUAGACAGGGGAAGACCUUGACAUCCAGAAGAAUAAAAAAAUGGCAACACAGGGAAACUUUCCCUACUAAUUCUUAACAAAGACUGUGGGUAUAUGAAUGCCAGUGUUCAGUGUAAUCUAGGGAGUCAAGGACACAGUUGAAGACAGCCCAAGAUAACAGAGCUGCCAAGGAACCCCACUGCCAUGCUCCAGGAAAAGUAAGAGCCAGAGGAAAGACAGAAGACAAACACAGGGAAACUUGGCAAAGAGACUCUUCAGCCACAAUAAGCAAAACAAAAGACAACCCAAAGAACGGACAGGACUGCCUUGUAUGGCCAUGGAAGUUGUGCACUACCCAGCAACAGAAAUUUUAUUUCCUCCAUUAGACUAUGACACGAAUGCCAUUCCCUAGAACUGAACAGUGCAUUAGCAUAUGUGGCAGUCUCAAAACUAGCUUUGUCUCAGCUCCCAUGUGCCUGCACAUUGACCUAAUUUUUUAUACAAAUUUUCCAUUAACUAAAUUUCUUUUCUGAAACCCAUCUAUACAAUAAUUCAGAUGAUAUAUUCAGGAUUGUUAUUCAGAGUUAUGUGCAAACAAUUCCAUGGUAUUAAUUACUUGGUAAUUUUGAAGAAGAGUAAUCACUUUAUCCCACAGUCAAAGAAAAAAGUAAGUCAUAGACGGCAUUUUCAAAAUAAGGCAGAUAAAGCAGUGAACAAAGAUUCAUUAAGGAUUCUUCCACACUGUGGAGCUAUUCACAAAGUUCCUACACUUACCAGUUCACUCUAUCUCUAUCACUACCUUUGUAUAAUACUUUUUUGCUUGACCAGGAGUGCAAUUAAGGACCAUUACAUGUUAUAUAGUGGGCAAAGAUAAUCAAAGAGAUUGCAGUUAUUAUGAUCUUUAUAUCAUUAAAACAGAGAUCUUUUAAGUCACUAUGGGAAAUAAAGAUGUCUUAGUAUAUUCCAAACUCUUUCACAGAAAGUAAGUACAAAUAAAAAAUUCACAUUUACAUUAUACUCCCAAAUUGCAAUGUCUUCAAGUUUUACCUUCCUUGCUGGAACUAAAUGGAGAAAUAAAAUGUUUCUCUGACAGAAAGGUCAGAGGUGGUUGAAUUAAAAUGCAAGUGAGGAAUCAAAGCAACUCAAUAAUAUUUUGACAGCUGUUGGAAGUUGAAAAAAUUAAUAUAGUUUUCAUGGUAGCUAGUGACUCCUAAGACAAUACUUUGUAUGUGUCUACCUUCAUGCCUUUGUCCAUGCCAUUUGCUUCUUUGAUAGUGUCCUAAACUUUCAACUUGCUAAAAUCCUGUCCAUUCUUCAUGGCCUCCUCUGUGAAGAUUUCCAGAUCCUUCCAAUAAAAUGCAAUUAUCUCCAUCCAUUACAUCUAUACCUAUUUCAUGGUAUGCACUGGACUCUACUUUGUAUUAUAUAUAUUUGGAUGCUUAUCUAAUCAUCUCUAAUAAGUUUCUUCAGGGAAGAGUGAUUACUUAUUCAUGUUUAUUUUCUACUACAGUAUUGAAGACAAUAUGUUAGACAUUUUUAAAAUUGCUUAACAUUUAUUUAAUUAAAUUAGGGAAUAGGGAAUAACAGUCAUACCAUAACUCCAUACUCAGUAUCCAUGAAAGAGACUAUUGUACCAACUCAUAACAAAGUCUUUUCAAUAAAAAGUUCUUUUAAAGUCUCCUA